GUUCCAUGAGUGUGGAGGGGGACACUAAGGGAUAGGAGAUUCCACCUGUGGUCAGUGCGGCGCCAGCAGCUGGAGAUGUGAGUUGGGACCACUUUAGUGGGGGUUCAAAUGCAAGUUAAGGGAUUUGAAAGGGAGAGACGUCAUAGGGAGAGGAAGGCGUGGGCACAGGCCAUGUCUCCACUAGGCCUAAGUGUGUGUGUGUCAGUGUGUGUGUGUCUGUCUGUGUGUGUGUGUCUGUGUGUGUAGGGGGUAGUGCACAUGAAAUGUUGCAGAGCUCUUAUAUAUGUUGAGAUUGACAUCUAGAGCAUUUCAUCAUGAGUUUCAAUGUUUUAUUUUUUGAAUGGGAGGUAGAAAAUAUUAACAGGGUUAGGAAUGACUGACUGUACGUUUAUAAUGUGCUGUGUGAAAUGAUCUGAGAAAAUGGCUUCUAAAGCAUAUUCAAAAUGUACCUUGAAUCUUUGAAUCAGAAGGCCUUUUUUAAAAAGGAUCUGUGUGUCUUGGAAAUUUUUUGGUAGCCCCAGAAACAUCCCAGGUAUAUUUAAAGAAUCAUUGUCACUAACCUAUUACUGCUUUGCCUGUUCCUGAAUUCCUGUGGGCAAGCUUUACCCUUCACAGAAAUGUGGAUGAGGCUGAGAAACUCAAAAUGCAGUGUGAAAAAAUAUACCUCGUGGGUUUAAGGCACCCAGGUAAUCAUUCAAUGAGGUUUCCUGUAUUCCUGUAAUCUAACACCACUGCACACUCUCUUAUUCAUAAUUCUGAAAUUUAAAAAGCUCUGAACACUUAAGUUUGGCACCAUUCAGUGGCAAAACUAGACUAUGUAAGGUGGGACUAUUCAGUCACACUACCUUACCUCUUUAUUUCUCCUAUUUAAUGUGAAAAUUCAGACUUCUGCUGCAGAAUUAUUGAAGUGUUUGAUUAUGACUUGAAGCCCCUGAAUACACUGGGGGUGUUAGGUAAUAUGUGGGAGAUACCGAGAACUACACUUGUAAAAUAAAAUAAAAAAUUUCCAAAACACAUCUGGUCCCCAGGGAUUUCAGAUCAGGGCUUGCUGACCAGUCUUUCCAGUUUGUUUGGUGCCCUGGAUAUUUUAACCUCAUACCACCUACACUCUUGGGGCAAUGCUCCUCCUUAGAUGGGAGGUUGUUCUCUUUUUGCAAAGUGUAGAGGAGAGGAGGAUUAGGUCCUGAACACUAGGAUGGUUUUGCAGGCAGUUUUAGGAAUAGUAUAGAGGGAGUUGGGAGCUCUGGGAAUAGAUUCCUUUAGGACAGUCCAUGCAGCAGAUCCUACUUUGAGUUCUUUUGCUCCAGGAGUGGACUUGGAUAGUGAGCAUUGGGGUUGAAGGAGCUGGCACAUUUUUGUGGUAGAAAGAUCUUAGCAUUUGGAAGACCUCUGGGUUAGGUUUCACUGACUCUGAGGGAGUUCUUUCGAAGUCCCAGGGAGGACUUGGUGUACUCUUUGACUCCUGGCUUUGCCAGGAUGCCCAGUAAUGUCUUUUGUGUUCUAGGCUGCAGUGUGUGUUGCAAAUCUUCUUGGAAUCAGCUACAGGACCUGUGCCGCCUGGCCAAGCUCUCAUGCCCUGCCCUCGGAAUCUCCAAGAGGAAUCUCUAUGACUUUGAAGUCGAAUACCUGUGUGAUUACAAGAAGAUCCGCGAACAGGAGUAUUACCUGGUAAAAUGGCGUGGAUACCCAGAGUCAGAGAGUACCUGGGAGCCACGGCAGAAUCUCAAGUGUGUGCGCAUUCUCAAGCAGUUCCACAAGGACUUAGAACGAGAGUUGGUCCGGCGGCGCCACCGGUCAAAGCCACCCCGGCACCUGGACCCAAGCUUGGCCAGCUACCUGGUGCAGAAGGCCAAGCAGAGACGGGCACUCCAGCUCUGGGAGCAGGAGCUCAAUGCCAAACGCAACCAUCUGGGACGCAUCACUGUGGAGAAUGAGGUGGAUCUGGAUGGCCCCCCUCGAGCCUUUGUAUACAUUAACGAGUACCGCGUUGGUGAGGGCAUCACCCUCAACCAGGUGGCCGUGGGCUGUGAGUGUAAGGACUGCUUGUGGGCACCUGCUGGAGGCUGCUGCCCCGGGGCAUCGCUGCACAAGUUUGCCUACAAUGACCAGGGCCAGGUGCGGCUGCGAGCUGGGCUGCCCAUCUACGAGUGCAACUCCCGUUGCCGCUGUGGCUAUGACUGCCCCAACCGUGUGGUACAGAAGGGCAUCCGCUACAACCUCUGCAUCUUCCGCACGGAUGAUGGGCGUGGCUGGGGCGUCCGCACACUGGAGAAGAUCCGCAAGAACAGCUUCGUCAUGGAGUACGUGGGAGAGAUUAUUACUUCGGAGGAGGCGGAGCGGCGGGGCCAGAUCUACGACCGCCAGGGUGCUACAUACCUCUUCGACCUGGACUACGUGGAGGAUGUGUACACUGUGGAUGCCGCCUAUUAUGGCAACAUCUCCCACUUUGUCAACCACAGUUGCGACCCCAACCUCCAGGUGUACAACGUCUUCAUAGACAACCUUGAUGAGCGGCUGCCCCGCAUUGCUUUCUUUGCCACAAGAACCAUCUGGGCAGGCGAGGAGCUCACUUUUGAUUACAACAUGCAAGUGGACCCCGUGGACAUGGAGAGCACCCGCAUGGACUCCAACUUUGGCCUGGCUGUGCUCCCCGGCUCCCCCAAGAAGCGGGUCCGUAUUGAAUGCAAGUGUGGGACUGAAUCCUGCCGCAAAUACCUCUUCUAGCCCUUCGAAAUCUGAGGCCAGACUGACUGUGGGGGCCUAAAGCCCAUCUCACCCACCCCUGUACCCACUUGCCCUCCUGUUGAGGAAUGACUGCCAGGGCCUCCCGCCUGCUUCCACCCGCCCCCACCUGCCCUGUGCUUCUUGGGGUUGUGGUGAGGACUGAUUUUCAGAAAUCCCCUCUCCCCGUCCCAGCUCCAUGGGUUGCACUUAACAACCCUCUGUCCAUUUUGCGAAGUAAGUUGUCAACAUCAGGAGUUUCUGCAGUUGAGAUUCACAGCCUAUCAAGGGGGUCCCAGGGGUGAAUCCCAGCCCCAGAAUAGAAAGGUGGUUAUUCACCUGCUUCAGCCUGGAGCUUGAGAGGUCUGUUGCAGGCCCUCUCCCUACUGCUCCAGGAGUGUGGAAGCCACCCCAGCGCAGGCUGACAUCAGAGUUCAGACUUCCCAGCCCACUUGGUGAAAGAAAGAGGGUUUGUAGGGCUGGGGACUGGUUUCUGCUUAUGCUCACAUGUAGGCUUUGCAUCCCAGAAGUAGCUGCCCACAUGCCACUGGAAGGAGAGUGGAUGCCCAUGGCUCACUGGUCACUGGCCAAUGAGAGGAAGGCAGUCCAGACUCUCCGAACCCUUAAGGUGGACUGGGAUUGAGCUCUGCCCAUGAGGUGCACAGAAGGCGCCUGGGAGCCCCGUCGGCGUGUGACGACUGCUGGGACUACUCAGAGCUGGAACCAAGACCUAGGGCCAGACCAAAUGAUUUCUCGGGUCUUAUAUGGCCUCGACCCGGAUGUUCCCCACCCCUGUCCUAGACAAUCCAGGAUAACCGCCCAUCUCAGGAUGCUUGCCUACUAUGUAUCUGCCAAGUCCCCUUUUCCAGGUCAGAAGACUGACAAGGAGUCUUACAAGGGUAAAAGUCAAGCUCUCUCUUGGGUCCUCGUUUCCAAGAUGACCAAGAAAAGAAGGAAUAAUGGUCAUGCCAAAAAAGGCUGUGGUCAUGUGCAGCCUAUUCAUUGCACCAACUGCACCUGAUGUGUGCCCAAGGAUAAGGCCAUUACGAAGUUCAUCAUUCGAAACAUAGUAGAGGCCACAGCCAUUAGGGACAUCUCCAAAGCAAGGAUCUUCAACGUCUAUGUGCUUCCGAAGCUGUAUGUGAAAGUACAUGACUGUGUGAGCUGUGCCAUUCACAGCAAGGUAGUAAGGAAUCGCUCUCGUGAAGCCCGGAAGGACCAACCGGAUUCAAACCUGCGGGUGCUGCCCCACCACUUUCACCAAAGCCCAUGUAAGGAGGUAAGUCCUUGAGGACUGAAGAAAAGUUCUCUGGGGGAAAAAUAAAUGGAAAUUGUACUUUAAAAAAAA